rnacentral:rRNA from 1 species
UACGUAGGGGGCUAGCGUUGUCCGGAAUCACUGGGCUUAAAGCGUGUGUAGGUGGAUCGGUAAGUACCUUGUGAAAUCCCACAGCUUAACUGUGGAACUGCUUGGUAUACUGCCAGUCUUGAGCCAGCUAGGGGCUACCGGAACAAAUGGUGGAGCGGUGAAAUGCGUAGAUAUCAUUUGGAACGCCAAUGGUGAAAACAGGUAGCUGGGGCUGUGCUGACACUGAGACACGAAAGCCAGGGGAGCGAACGGG